AUUGAACGCUGGCGGCAGGCUUAACACAUGCAAGUCGAACGAGUGGCGGACGGGUGAGUAAUUUCUGGGAAUCUUGCUUAUGUAGGGGGAUAACUACUGGAAACUGUAGCUAAUACCCCCUACCAUCGGAUGUGCCCCUGUGGGAUUAGGUAGUUGGUGAGGUAAUGGCUCACCAAGCCGACGAUCCCUAGCUGGUCUGAGAGGAUGACCAGCCACACGGGGACUGGGACACGGCCCAGACUCCGACGGGAGGCAGCAGUGGGGAAUAUUGCGCAAUGGGGGCAACCUGACGCAGCCAUGCCGCGUGAAUGAAGAAGGCCUUCGGGUUGUAAAGUUCUUUCGGUAGCGAGGCGGUAAGUAAAGAAGAAGCACCGGCUAACUCCGUGCCAGCAGCCGCGGUAAUUG
rnacentral:rRNA from 1 species